GUAGCUCGGCGAUCGUCAAAUUGGAAUCAGAGAAGAACGUCGUUGCGAAAAAGGAAGUGUCUGUUCACCACGCCCCGUUUGACUGGCGCCAUCUUGUGGAUGUGUGGGGUUGGGAUAGAUGUUAGCUGCCCUUUUCCUGACCUGACCUGUACAAGUCCUGGAUGGAACGACGGUCGGCCCUAAGGAUCCGCCCUGCAGACUUAAUUGUUUGGUACAGAUUGGACCUGUCCUGUUCUGUGGACAAGUCAAAUCACACAAUGUAAACCACAAAAUUAUGUUUCUGUUUUAUACAUUUUAAAAGAUAGUAAUCUUAUUGGGAUUUUGUAAUGAUUAUGUGUGCCUGCAUUUUAAAGAAGCAGUGAUUUAAAAAAAAAAUAAAAACACUCUUGCACAUCA